UACGUAGGCGGCCAUAUAAGUCAGAAGUGAAAGGCUACGGCUUAACCGUAGUAAGCUUUUGAAACUGUAUGGCUUGAGUGCAGGAGAGGAAAGCGGAAUUCCUAGUGUAGCGGUGAAAUGCGUAGAUAUUAGGAAGAACACCAGUAGCGAAGGCGGCUUUCUGGACUGAAACUGACGCUGAGGUACGAAAGCGUGGGGAGCGAACCGGAUUAGAUACCCGAGUAGUCC
rnacentral:rRNA from 1 species